rnacentral:rRNA from 1 species
AGUGAACGCUGGCGGUAGGCCUAACACAUGCAAGUCGAACGGCAGCACAGUAAGAGCUUGCUCUUCCGGGUGGCGAGUGGCGGACGGGUGAGGAAUACAUCGGAAUCUACUUUUUCGUGGGGGAUAACGUAGGGAAACUUACGCUAAUACCGCAUCCGACCUACGGGUGAAAGCAGGGGAUCUUCGGACCUUGCGCGAUUGAAUGAGCCGAUGUCGGAUUAGCUAGUUGGCGGGGUAAAGGCCCACCAAGGCGACGAUCCGUAGCUGGUCUGAGAGGAUGAUCAGCCACACUGGAACUGAGACACGGUCCAGACUCCUACGGGAGGCAGCAGUGGGGAAUAUUGGACAAUGGGCGCAAGCCUGAUCCAGCCAUACCGCGUGGGUGAAGAAGGCCUUCGGGUUGUAAAGCCCUUUUGUUGGGAAAGAAAAGCAGCAGGUUAAUACCCCGCUGUUCUGACGGUACCCAAAGAAUAAGCACCGGCUAACUUCGUG